GGGUUGUGAGGUUAAGCGACUAAGCGUACACGGUGGAUGCCCUGGCAGUCAGAGGCGAUGAAGGACGUGCUAAUCUGCGAUAAGCGUCGGUAAGGUGAUAUGAACCGUUAUAACCGGCGAUUUCCGAAUGGGGAAACCCAGUGUGUUUCGACACACUAUCAUUAACUGAAUCCAUAGGUUAAUGAGGCGAACCGGGGGAACUGAAACAUCUAAGUACCCCGAGGAAAAGAAAUCAACCGAGAUUCCCCCAGUAGCGGCGAGCGAACGGGGAGCAGCCCAGAGCCUGAAUCAGUGUGUGUGUUAGUGGAAGCGUCUGGAAAGGCGCGCGAUACAGGGUGACAGCCCCGUACACAAAAAUGCACAUGCUGUGAGCUCGAUGAGUAGGGCGGGACACGUGGUAUCCUGUCUGAAUAUGGGGGGACCAUCCUCCAAGGCUAAAUACUCCUGACUGACCGAUAGUGAACCAGUACCGUGAGGGAAAGGCGAAAAGAACCCCGGCGAGGGGAGUGAAAAAGAACCUGAAACCGUGUACGUACAAGCAGUGGGAGCACGCUUAGGCGUGUGACUGCGUACCUUUUGUAUAAUGGGUCAGCGACUUAUAUUCUGUAGCAAGGUUAACCGAAUAGGGGAGCCGAAGGGAAACCGAGUCUUAACUGGGCGUUAAGUUGCAGGGUAUAGACCCGAAACCCGGUGAUCUAGCCAUGGGCAGGUUGAAGGUUGGGUAACACUAACUGGAGGACCGAACCGACUAAUGUUGAAAAAUUAGCGGAUGACUUGUGGCUGGGGGUGAAAGGCCAAUCAAACCGGGAGAUAGCUGGUUCUCCCCGAAAGCUAUUUAGGUAGCGCCUCGUGAAUUCAUCUCCGGGGGUAGAGCACUGUUUCGGCAAGGGGGUCAUCCCGACUUACCAACCCGAUGCAAACUGCGAAUACCGGAGAAUGUUAUCACGGGAGACACACGGCGGGUGCUAACGUCCGUCGUGAAGAGGGAAACAACCCAGACCGCCAGCUAAGGUCCCAAAGUCAUGGUUAAGUGGGAAACGAUGUGGGAAGGCCCAGACAGCCAGGAUGUUGGCUUAGAAGCAGCCAUCAUUUAAAGAAAGCGUAAUAGCUCACUGGUCGAGUCGGCCUGCGCGGAAGAUGUAACGGGGCUAAACCAUGCACCGAAGCUGCGGCAGCGACGCUUAUGCGUUGUUGGGUAGGGGAGCGUUCUGUAAGCCUGCGAAGGUGUGCUGUGAGGCAUGCUGGAGGUAUCAGAAGUGCGAAUGCUGACAUAAGUAACGAUAAAGCGGGUGAAAAGCCCGCUCGCCGGAAGACCAAGGGUUCCUGUCCAACGUUAAUCGGGGCAGGGUGAGUCGACCCCUAAGGCGAGGCCGAAAGGCGUAGUCGAUGGGAAACAGGUUAAUAUUCCUGUACUUGGUGUUACUGCGAAGGGGGGACGGAGAAGGCUAUGUUGGCCGGGCGACGGUUGUCCCGGUUUAAGCGUGUAGGCUGGUUUUCCAGGCAAAUCCGGAAAAUCAAGGCUGAGGCGUGAUGACGAGGCACUACGGUGCUGAAGCAACAAAUGCCCUGCUUCCAGGAAAAGCCUCUAAGCAUCAGGUAACAUCAAAUCGUACCCCAAACCGACACAGGUGGUCAGGUAGAGAAUACCAAGGCGCUUGAGAGAACUCGGGUGAAGGAACUAGGCAAAAUGGUGCCGUAACUUCGGGAGAAGGCACGCUGAUAUGUAGGUGAAGCGACUUGCUCGUGGAGCUGAAAUCAGUCGAAGAUACCAGCUGGCUGCAACUGUUUAUUAAAAACACAGCACUGUGCAAACACGAAAGUGGACGUAUACGGUGUGACGCCUGCCCGGUGCCGGAAGGUUAAUUGAUGGGGUUAGCGCAAGCGAAGCUCUUGAUCGAAGCCCCGGUAAACGGCGGCCGUAACUAUAACGGUCCUAAGGUAGCGAAAUUCCUUGUCGGGUAAGUUCCGACCUGCACGAAUGGCGUAAUGAUGGCCAGGCUGUCUCCACCCGAGACUCAGUGAAAUUGAACUCGCUGUGAAGAUGCAGUGUACCCGCGGCAAGACGGAAAGACCCCGUGAACCUUUACUAUAGCUUGACACUGAACAUUGAGCCUUGAUGUGUAGGAUAGGUGGGAGGCUUUGAAGUGUGGACGCCAGUCUGCAUGGAGCCGACCUUGAAAUACCACCCUUUAAUGUUUGAUGUUCUAACGUUGACCCGUAAUCCGGGUUGCGGACAGUGUCUGGUGGGUAGUUUGACUGGGGCGGUCUCCUCCUAAAGAGUAACGGAGGAGCACGAAGGUUGGCUAAUCCUGGUCGGACAUCAGGAGGUUAGUGCAAUGGCAUAAGCCAGCUUGACUGCGAGCGUGACGGCGCGAGCAGGUGCGAAAGCAGGUCAUAGUGAUCCGGUGGUUCUGAAUGGAAGGGCCAUCGCUCAACGGAUAAAAGGUACUCCGGGGAUAACAGGCUGAUACCGCCCAAGAGUUCAUAUCGACGGCGGUGUUUGGCACCUCGAUGUCGGCUCAUCACAUCCUGGGGCUGAAGUAGGUCCCAAGGGUAUGGCUGUUCGCCAUUUAAAGUGGUACGCGAGCUGGGUUUAGAACGUCGUGAGACAGUUCGGUCCCUAUCUGCCGUGGGCGCUGGAGAAUUGAGGGGGGCUGCUCCUAGUACGAGAGGACCGGAGUGGACGCAUCACUGGUGUUCGGGUUGUCAUGCCAAUGGCACUGCCCGGUAGCUAAAUGCGGAAGAGAUAAGUGCUGAAAGCAUCUAAGCACGAAACUUGCCCCGAGAUGAGUUCUCCCUGACUCCUUGAGAGUCCUGAAGGAACGUUGAAGACGACGACGUUGAUAGGCCGGAUGUGUAAGCGCAGCGAUGCGUUGAGCUAACCGGUACUAAUGAACCGUGAGGCUUAACCUUACAACGCCGAAGCUGUU
rnacentral:rRNA from 1 species